GACGAACGCUGGCGGCGUGCCUAAUACAUGCAAGUAGAACGCUGAAGGAGGAGCUUGCUUCUCUGGAUGAGUUGCGAACGGGUGAGUAACGCGUAGGUAACCUGCCUGGUAGCGGGGGAUAACUAUUGGAAACGAUAGCUAAUACCGCAUAAUAGUAGAUGUUGCAUGACAUUUGCUUAAAAGGUGCAAUUGCAUCACUACCAGAUGGACCUGCGUUGUAUUAGCUAGUUGGUGAGGUAACGGCUCACCAAGGCGACGAUACAUAGCCGACCUGAGAGGGUGAUCGGCCACACUGGAACUGAGACACGGUCCAGACUCCUACGGGAGGCAGCAGUAGGGAAUCUUCCGCAAUGGGCGAAAGCCUGACGGAGCAACGCCGCGUGAGUGAAGAAGGUCUUCGGAUCGUAAAACUCUGUUAUUAGGGAAGAACAAAUGUGUAAGUAACUAUGCACGUCUUGACGGUACCUAAUCAGAAAGCCACGGCUAACUACGUG
rnacentral:rRNA from 1 species